UUCUGAUGCAGGCUGAUUGUUUUGUGCUUAUACUACAUUGGCUUUUCCCAGAAUUUAACUUGAAGUGUUAUACACUAGGGAGCUCCGGUUUGUUUAGUUUACAAAAUGUUUUUUCCUAGCCCUUCUCUGAUAGAAACACAGUUUCUGAUAGCACUGUCUAAGUGGGUUUGGGAAUUUUUUUUUCUCCCCUGGUUUUUCUUUAGUGUUUUAUUUCAUAACUGUUAGUCAGCCAGUCACAUUUUAAUUGUGAUGCUUUGUUUGUCACAUCCUUUAGAGAGGUUGGAACAAGGACAGCGUAUUUUCCUUUUCUGCUUGAUAUAUUGCUCUGAUGUAUGAUGUCAUUAUUCUUUUAUGUCUAUGUUGUACCAUUGGUUUAACUUUCUUAUUAGUCAUCUGGAGCAACUAAAGGAAGACUGCUGUAGUUCCACAUGUCAAUCAGAUCAUCCUCUCCGUCAUCUUACUGAGAAAACUGAGAAUUGAGGACCUUGAUGAAGAACUACCUUAUACACGUUCAGCUCUCCCUCCUGGGACACAGAAAGAUCCAAUAAUUUGCCUACAGUUACUGGACCAAUGUGUGUCAGCUUGAAUGCCAGUCUUCCUGAGAGAAAACAACUCCAACAGCAUCACAAGAAUGGAAUCUUGCUAUCUUUUGGCAUCUGGGAAUAUCCUACAAGCUACAACUAAAUUUACUUUUCCUACCCAACUGUUUUAUCUGGUUUUCAUUUUUGCAACCGUAAUUUUCAAAAGUUUGUUCUCUAGGUCUUUAUCUCAGAUUUGAGAUCUUUAUUAUAAAGUGAAUAUUUCUUGUACUACUCACUUUAUCUUAGGUUUCUUUGUAUGGGGUCACUUGAACAGUUUCUUCUUUUUCAGGGGAAAAAAAUUCUAACCCUCUUGAAACUACCGUGUAAAAGGAAAGUAAAAAUGAGAAAGUUUCUUAAUCUCUUGAUACUAAGUGUCAGUUGGCCCUGCAAUAAGGAUAUGAGUCGUUCUGCCUCAAAUACUAAUUUUGGUUGCAAGCAAAGGAGAGGAAAGAAAGAAAAUUAAAAACCAAACUCCUCCUGGAGCUUCAAUUUAGGGUUUCCUCAUAUACCUGUUAACAAAGCUUAGUUUUUUGGAAAUGAUGGUAAUAGUACAGAACCAUAAAGUGUCAGUUUGCCCAAGGUACUGAUAUUCCUCACAUGAAGCAUCAUUUCUUUUUCUUCUCCUUUCUGUCUCUGUCUCUCUGUCUUUCUGUCUUUCUCUCUAUUCUCUUUCUCCCUCAUAUAGAAAUUUUUUCUGCCUUGUCUGUCAUUAUAUAUUCAGAGUUGAAAUGGCCCUUAGCUAUCACCUAAUCAUACCCCCCCACACACACACCCAUUUUACAGAUGAGAAAACUGAGUUCUGGAAAGGUUAAGUGAUUUGUAUAAACUCACAAAGAUAGUAAAUGGCCAAAUCAAAAUUUGAAUCCAAGUCCAUGGACUUAAGGAAAGCAAGGCAUUCCACUAUACCAUGAUACCUUAAGAAGUAGAAAAUUACCACCAAACAUAAUACUCUCUGAAGUUCCAGAAGUGUAGCUCAAGGGCACCACCCAUUAUUUAUCAUCUUCUAUCAUAUGAGCAUUAGUUCUUAUGCUCCUUCACCAGCCCCCUUGCUAUAUUGAUCCUUAUCCUUCCCCCAACUCAUCACAUAUACUUUGUAAUAAAUAGAUCCUGGUAUAGAGGUAAGUUAAGUACAGCAUAUUUAAAAAGAAUCUCAUGCCUUUCUCUGGAACAUGGAGCUCACCAGUAGAAUGGAAGUCUAAAUUGAAACAAUAAAUUGGGAAAGAGGAGAGAGUAAACAAAAUGUGGAAGGGUGAGGUUUUCACUGAUGGGUGAUUAGCCAAGCAGUUUCCUGUCUACCCAGCUAAGACUGAUGUUUUUAUGUUCUCACAUGUCAGUUUUUUACCAUAACCCUUGAAAAGUGGUUUGUGAGUAUAAGGACAUCUGAGAUCAUGUAGUUGAGGAAUAUUAAUAAUUAACAUGUAAAGUACCUGUCUAUUUCCAAACAUCAAUAAGAAAUUGACAAUUUAAAAGUGAGUAUCAAUUAACUCACUCAUGAAAUCUAAAAUAGUACAUCUGUUAAACAAUAAAAGCAUGAUUUGCAUCAUAGUCAUAGUUUAUAUAUAUAUAUAUAUAUAU